rnacentral:rRNA from 2 species
AACUUUUAACAACGGAUCUCUUGGUUCUCGCAUCGAUGAAGAACGUAGCAAAGUGCGAUAACUAGUGUGAAUUGCAUAUUCAGUGAAUCAUCGAGUCUUUGAACGCAUCUUGCACCUGUUGGUAUUCCAACAGGUACGCCUGUUUCAGUA